rnacentral:lncRNA from 1 species
AAAGCAAAGACAGGUCAAGUCCAUUUCCCAUAUGAGCCCAGACUCAAUGUCUUUUAAUGCUCUCACUGAUAGGCCCCCUGCUGGGUCCAACCAAGGGAAAUUGUCUGGUUCUAACUUCAGAUAAAGUCAAUUUUGAGCAAAACAGAGGAAACUUAUUCUGCAGAUAUUGCAAGAAGUCUGGACACUUAAUUGAUAAGUGUUUCAAACUCCAUGGUUUUCCUNNN